UCAACCGAGAUUCCCCCAGUAGCGGCGAGCGAACGGGGAGCAGCCCAGAGCCUGAAUCAGUGUGUGUGUUAGUGGAAGCGUCUGGAAAGGCGCGCGAUACAGGGUGACAGCCCCGUACACAAAAAUGCACAUGCUGUGAGCUCGAUGAGUAGGGCGGGACACGUGGUAUCCUGUCUGAAUAUGGGGGGACCAUCCUCCAAGGCUAAAUACUCCUGACUGACCGAUAGUGAACCAGUACCGUGAGGGAAAGGCGAAAAGAACCCCGGCGAGGGGAGUGAAAAAGAACCUGAAACCGUGUACGUACAAGCAGUGGGAGCACGCUUAGGCGUGUGACUGCGUACCUUUUGUAUAAUGGGUCAGCGACUUAUAUUCUGUAGCAAGGUUAACCGAAUAGGGGAGCCGAAGGGAAACCGAGUCUUAACUGGGCGUUAAGUUGCAGGGUAUAGACCCGAAACCCGGUGAUCUAGCCAUGGGCAGGUUGAAGGUUGGGUAACACUAACUGGAGGACCGAACCGACUAAUGUUGAAAAAUUAGCGGAUGACUUGUGGCUGGGGGUGAAAGGCCAAUCAAACCGGGAGAUAGCUGGUUCUCCCCGAAAGCUAUUUAGGUAGCGCCUCGUGAAUUCAUCUCCGGGGGUAGAGCACUGUUUCGGCAAGGGGGUCAUCCCGACUUACCAACCCGAUGCAAACUGCGAAUACCGGAGAAUGUUAUCACGGGAGACACACGGCGGGUGCUAACGUCCGUCGUGAAGAGGGAAACAACCCAGACCGCCAGCUAAGGUCCCAAAGUCAUGGUUAAGUGGGAAACGAUGUGGGAAGGCCCAGACAGCCAGGAUGUUGGCUUAGAAGCAGCCAUCAUUUAAAGAAAGCGUAAUAGCUCACUGGUCGAGUCGGCCUGCGCGGAAGAUGUAACGGGGCUAAACCAUGCACCGAAGCUGCGGCAGCGACGCUGAUGCGUUGUUGGGUAGGGGAGCGUUCUGUAAGCCUGUGAAGGUGUGCUGUGAGGCAUGCUGGAGGUAUCAGAAGUGCGAAUGCUGACAUAAGUAACGAUAAAGCGGGUGAAAAGCCCGCUCGCCGGAAGACCAAGGGUUCCUGUCCAACGUUAAUCGGGGCAGGGUGAGUCGACCCCUAAGGCGAGGCCGAAAGGCGUAGUCGAUGGGAAACAGGUUAAUAUUCCUGUACUUGGUGUUACUGCGAAGGGGGGACGGAGAAGGCUAUGUUGGCCGGGCGACGGUUGUCCCGGUUUAAGCGUGUAGGCUGGUUUUCCAGGCAAAUCCGGAAAAUCAAGGCUGAGGCGUGAUGACGAGGCACUACGGUGCUGAAGCAACAAAUGCCCUGCUUCCAGGAAAAGCCUCUAAGCAUCAGGUAACAUCAAAUCGUACCCCAAACCGACACAGGUGGUCAGGUAGAGAAUACCAAGGCGCUUGAGAGAACUCGGGUGAAGGAACUAGGCAAAAUGGUGCCGUAACUUCGGGAGAAGG
rnacentral:rRNA from 1 species